rnacentral:rRNA from 1 species
UACGGGGGGAGCAAGCGUUGUUCGGAUUACUGGCGUAAAGGGCGCGUAGGCGGUCAGCACAAGUCAGUUGUGAAAUCUCCGGGCUUAACUCGGAAAGGUCAACUGAUACUGUGCGACUAGAGUGCGGAAGGGGCAACUGGAAUUCUCGGUGUAGCGGUGAAAUGCGUAGAUAUCGAGAGGAACACCUGCGGCGAAGGCGGGUGCUGGGCCGACACUGACGCUGAUGCGCGAAAGCCAGGGGAGCGAACGGG